GGGGAGUUAGCUCAGUCGGUAGAGCGCUUCGCUCACAUCGAAGAGGUCGCUGGUUCGAGUCCAGUACUGCCCACCA
rnacentral:tRNA from 1 species